rnacentral:rRNA from 1 species
GUCCACGCCGUAAACGAUGAGUGCUGGAUGUCGGGGGUAUUCACCCCCUCGGUAUCGAAGCUAACGCGAUAAGCACUCCGCCUGGGGAGUACGGCCGCAAGGUUGAAACUCAAAGGAAUUGACGGGGGCCCCGCACAAGCGGUGGAGUAUGUGGUUUAAUUCGACGCAACGCGAAGAACCUUACCCAGCCUUGACGUCCUUGGAACAUGGUGGAAACACCGGGGUGUCCUCGCAAGAGGAAGCCAAGAGGCAGGUGCUGCAUGGCUGUCGU